ensembl:lncRNA
UGGGACUUUGCUCUUGGGGUUUGCGAGGAGCUUGUCCACGCCCUGAGAACGCCCUCGGGCAGGGGCUGAAGGGUGCAGCCCGGAAGCCUCCGCAGGUGAGCCCUGGUCCGCCACCCCUCUGCCAAGCCGUCACCCUGGAGCCAGGGACUUGUUCUCCUGACUCAGGUUCAAGGCUGGCAUCCCGGAGGGUGUUGUGAGCAACUUGAGACCUGGGACAAGGUCGGAGACAGGCCAGUCAUGUGUGAAAUGAGCACAAAGUGCGCGGCCCUGGGAGAAGCAGCCGCCGCAGCUCCCGGGAGGCUGAGCCGUGUCAGACCGAGUGGGGUAUGGGGAGCAGCGCAAGUUGUAAGAGCAGGUGGUCAUUGGCUGGAGCCUGGACAAAGGACCAAGGGGCUGGGGCCCACCUGGCCUUCAGCCUAAGUGACUGCCCUGCACGUGGGCAUCUGGGGCAGGGGGUGCAACCCUGUCCUGUUGCCUUCCGGGAUGCUGGUUGUCUGCCUGCCCCUACACCCUCCCCUCACUCCACGUCCUCUCCUGGACCGUCCUCUGAGUCACUGGAUCCCGUGUGGUCUUCUACACAAGAAAAAUGCAGGUGGCGCCGAGGGUAACCAGAGGUGGCAUACAGCAUCCCCAUGUACCUGCACACUUGUUCUGAGAAAACGGAAGCAAACCCAGCUGGUUUGGGGAUCUGAGACUUUGGUGGUUCCAAUGCCGGUUCCCAGCUCUCGAAACUGCACUUGCUGAUUUCUGGUCUGUGGUUUAUCUGUGAGAACAGGAACCGAGAAGUGUGAGAGGAGAAGGCCAUGGCACCCCACUCCAGUACUCUUGCCUGGAAAAUCCCACAGACGGAGGAGCCUGGUAGGCUGCAGUCCAUGGGGUCGCACAGAGUCGGACACAACUGAGUGACUUCACUUUCACUUUUCACUUUCAUGCAUUGGAGGAGGAAAUGGCAAGCCACUCCAGUGUUCUUGCCUGGAGAAUCCCAGGGACGGAGGAGCCUGUUGGGCUGCCGUCUAUGGGGUCGCACAGAGUCGGACAUGACUGAAGUGACUUAGCAGCAGAGGAGUGUGAGCAAAUGCCAUGGGACUGCAUCCCACCCUGUCCAUGUCCUCUGCUCCCGAUCGGUUCAUUCACUGGAUGUCACGCUGUACCUGCCAGGCGUCAUUAUGGGCGCUCAGUCUGGGGACAAGUUUAUGACCAUUUUUAGUUGACGCCAAUGACGUCUUUGCCUCUUCAUGACAUCAGUCCAUGUGUUUUCUUUUUAAACAAACAACACAACAAUACCAAUAUCUAUGGAAACCAGGCCAGAAAGAAAGAAGCUGAAAAAGCCCGCAGC